UUGUUUCAUAUUUGAACUAAGACGUCUUUUUAUGAUUUUCAUGUAAAAACAAAAUCAUAAACUCGUAAUUUAUCUUUGACAAUGUAUACUUUCCAUUAUUACUAUUAAGAAUGGAUUUUCCGUUUUUUUUUUCUUUCCAAAUUGUGUAGUUGAUGAUAUGUGUAUAACUAAGUUAUUUGCUGACGUUUUUAUAACUUGUAUUCACUAGACUGAUGUUUUGGUACAUGUUAUGCAAAAUGUAAAAAUUAGAAUGAAUUUGGAAAAUCACAAAAAAAAAAACAUUAAAAGAAAACACAUGAAAUCAAUCCAAAGUCAACCAAACCAAUUACUAAAAAAAAACUAUAUGUCUCAAAUUUUUAUAAUUAAAAAAAAAAAAAAAACCAUAAACUAGCAAGCUAGGGUGUCCAUCUCUAUUUUCUACAGUAUGUAUGUUAUGAUGCAGCUAGUAGACUACGGAUAGAAGAUCGUUUAGACUUUUAGACGUUUUGAAAAAGAUGUAAAUAGUUUCACAAAAGAUUUAUAAGGUGAUACACAGAAGUUAAACCAGGCAAAAAAAAUCUACAAUACACGAAGUUGUUAAGUAAAAAAUGAUUAAAAAAAACAGACGAUAGGAUGCGAGUCUAAUAAACAAUUAACAAAGCCUAUUUUAAAGCGUAUGCAUGUAUUGUGUAUCCUGGAUGAUGGAGUUGCAAAUGUUAUUUCUGUUAUUUCCAAAUCAGAAACAAAACUAUCCGCUGUCGAUAAUCGAACCCGGAAUUUCUCGCAAUGAAAUCUAACCAGUAG
rnacentral:lncRNA from 1 species